GUUUACGUUGACGAAGUAUGAAGAGAGAGAGUCGGGAAAACACGGGAGAAAACUGUACAAAAUGACGGAGAAAACGAGCAACACUACGUUCAGUAAUGGAGCAGGCCCUGAGCUGAGGAGAUGCGAUUGUGCCAAACAAAGGGGAGCUUGUGUCUCAUCUGCAGGGACAGCGACGGUCAAGUGUAGAGUACAGUGGAUACAGUGUAUACAAAUGCCACCUUGACUGUGUGCAAAGCCAUUAUCACUGUGGCUUUGUGAAAAAUGUUUUGUCCGUCAGUUUAAACCCUGGUGCAAGACAGCAACCACAAAUAUUACUGCAACUUUGGCGUCCACGGUGAUUCAGGCGUCCAGGGUGACUGUGGCAUCCACGGUGACUCCGGCGUCCACGGUGACUCCAGCGUCCACAGCAGACCAUCAGAAAGAAACAUGUAUGUUUACCAUGGUGCCAGAGGACACUGAAGACCAUCCCUACAGCAAAGACUUGGAAAGGGCCCAACAAGCGCAACAGAAACGACACGAGGCAAGUUGGCUGUUAAUCAAUGUCAUCACAGAGGAUCAGGGCAUGCUGCAACACCUUAAAGUGAGUGACAAUGGCAUUUAGUGUGGUGUUUGUGUAUUUGUAUACGAGUACCCAGACUAAAAUCCUAUAGAAUCUUUGUAGAAAAUCAUCACAGGCAACACUGUGUCUCCCUGGGCCAAGAAAGAGGACAGGGUCAUCACUCUUUUCGAAGAUGAUGACCAAGUGGACAAGGUGAUGCACUUCUUGUCUGAAGUACUCGAAAGUAGACAGACAAGAAGUCUGCAGAUCCUGUGGCGUUCAUAAUGGAUGUACUUUUGCCAGAGCUGAUAUCUCAGACACUGACACUGAUUUGUAGACUACAUGUUUUAUAUGACUGCAUAUGUCUGUCUCCUUUUAACACAUGAUCACGGUCUAACACAAUCUUUCAUGCCACAGGCAACAGUAUAUUCCCUUGGAGCUGUUCACUCCAUCUCUCUGGACAAAGUGUUUCUCAACACUGAUGACUCAAGAAUUUCUUUCACAUUUUGGCGACGAGGAUGGGAUGGACACUCCAAUGCUCAGGGCCUGAGUUCUGACUGAAGGUUACUAUCGGUAAGGAAAAUUUCCGCUCCACCAAGGAGGACAGGAAUCCGCCUGACAUCAGGAACGGGUGCUGACCAGCGGACGCUCCAUCUUUUUAAAAAGUGAGUACGGUGUUUUUUGAAUCAUUUCUGGUGUACAUAGGUGAAACCUAGGUAGACAGUUGUAAUUCCUUUGUGGUAGACUGUCAAGAUAUUCUAUAAGUCCUGUGUGGUUGAAUAUCGAGGUCCGGUGUAAUACCUGUGUGGUUUGGAGACCGUCUUCAUAUAAUUCCUGUGUGGUUUGAAGACUAGCUUAAGCUUUGGGAAAAAACAAAAAACAAAAAAAAAACAACGUUGGUGUGUGUUUGAUAAGAUCUAACCAUGCUGGCAUGGGAAAAAAUCUCUGCAGGAGGUAGAAGCUGUGAGUUGGAGGUGUUUCAAACUCAGAUGGGCCAAUAUCCGACCGGCCAACUGGUCAACAUCCCCAGUCAUUGGAUCAGUGAGGUUCCACGACAUGAUGACCAGCCUGGCUGAUGCUGUGUGGGCUGUUUUCCCCUUAAGAGUGUGUUGGCCUGAGAUUCACAGCACAAAACAAAAGGAGGGUGAGUUAGCAGCUGACUACCGCACUCGCAUGGAAUCUGUUUUUGCAGCUCACUCCAGCAUCGACGCACAAAAUGAGGCAUAUGAUGACCUGCUGAAAACAACUUUGAUUAAUGGCCUCCACCCUAGCCUCAAGGAUCGUGUCAUGGCUACAUGUGUCAGAUGGGAAACUGGGACAAUAGCAAAUGUCUGGACACACGUUAUGCACGCUGGACAAAAUAAGGUAGAUUUGGACUCUAAACAGACACGAAAACUUCAAACUGCUCAACUGAUGUAUUACCAGCAGGGUGGGGCUCAAAAUCCUGAAAAGGAAUGGCAGCCUCGCCAACCCAACAACAGAGGUAGACGCAGACCGGGUCCGCACCAGAACUCCCAGAGGAAGAACAGCCAAGAACACAACAAGGUGCGGUGCUACAAUUGCGAAGGCUACGGGCAUUUGUCAUAUGAUUGUCCUACAACUGAGUACAACCAGCGAGGAGGACAAAGUCCAGAGGAAUCAUGGCCUCACGCACCACCAAGAGGUCUCUCUGUGCAGUCCCCGGGCUACAGGUAGUGCGACCAUAGGAGACAGUGGAGGCAGGUCAGAGCAUUCAACACAUAGACACAUAAACACAAGUAGGAACUACUGAAGAUAGUAAUGAACUAGUUGUAUAUCAACUAGUUCAUUACUAUCUACAACACAUAUCAACAAUAUGAACACUUAACCAGAGACUCUAAAACACCCCCUACGUUGAUUCUAAAUGUACAAGGUAUUAAUGUGACAUUCCUUGUAGACUCGGGAGCACAGGUCUCUGUAAUCCAAUCCAAAUUAUUCCCUGAUGCACCCAAAACAAGUAAAUUCCUAAAGACAAUAGGAGCGUCAGGGCUUCAGGGUUGCCCAGUGCUGAUUGUCCGGGUGCUGGAAGUGAUUUUCCCCAGUCUCACCUGCUGGCUCCUAUCUGUGAGGAAGUUUGUAAUCCACUGACAGGUGGGGGCUGAGACGGAGAGCUGGGUGAGUUUGGAGUGCAGGAUGUCUGGGAUGAUGGUGUUGAACGCCGAGCUGAAGUCCACAAACAGGAUCCUAGCAUAUGUCCCUGGGGAGUCGAGGUGAUGCAGGAUGUAAUGCAGACCCAUAUUGAUUGCAUCAUCCACUGACCUGUUUGCCCGAUAUGCAAACUGCAGGGGGUCCAGCAGGGGGCCUGUGAUGUCCUUCAGGUGGCACAACACCAGUCUCUCAAAGGCCUUCAUGACCACAGACGUCAGGGCCUCGGGCCUGUAGUCAUUUAGACCUGAGAUUGCUGGUUUCUUGGGGACCGGGAUUAUUGUAGAGUGUUUGAAGCAGGAGGGGACUUCACACAGCUCCAGUGAUCUGUUGAAGAUCUGGGUAAAGAUGGGGGCCAGCUGGUCGGCACAGACCUUCAGACAGGUGGGUGACACGCCGUCUGGGCCUGGAGCUUUCCUGGACUUCUGUUUCCUGAAGAGCUGACACACAUCUUCUUCACAGAUCCUGAGUGAUGGUGGGGGGUCAGGAGGGAGGGGUGAUGGUGGUGCAGGGGGAGAUGAGGGUUGUUUGAUGUUGGAUCGGGUGAUGGGUGUGAAGGUUGGCUUCUCAAACCUGCAGUAGAAGACAUUGAGGUCGUCAGCCAGUUCAUGGUUCGCUACUAUGUGGGGGGAUGGUCUCCUGUAGUUGGUGAGCUCUUGUAGACCUCUCCACACUGACGCAGGCUUGUUAGCUGAGAACCUGUUUUUCAGCUUCUCAGUGUAACACCUCUUUGCCACUUUGAUCUCCUUUGUCAGUGAGUUCCUGGUAGUAUUGUACAGGACUCUGUCCCCACUUCUGUAGGCCUCCUCCUUGGCCUGACGAAGCAUCCUAAGUUUAGCAGUGAACCAAGGUUUAUUGUUGUUGUAUGUGCAGAAGGUUUUGGUCGGUACGCACAUGUCCUCACAAAACCUGGUGUAGCAUG